UACGUAGGGGGCGAGCGUUGUCCGGAUUUAUUGGGCGUAAAGAGCUCGUAGGCGGCUUGGCAAGUCGGGUGUGAAACCUCCAGGCUCAACCUGGAGACGCCACUCGAUACUGCCAUGGCUAGAGUCCGGUAGGGGACCACGGAAUUCCUGGUGUAGCGGUGAAAUGCGCAGAUAUCAGGAGGAACACCGAUGGCGAAGGCAGGUCUCUGGGCCACUACUGACGCUGAGAAGCGAAAGCGUGGGGAGCGAACAGG
rnacentral:rRNA from 1 species